rnacentral:lncRNA from 1 species
AUGACUCAUCCUCAUCUUAUUCAUGAAACCAGGGGCUGGGAAGGAAGCGCCCCUGGCCUUGCGCCACCGCAGCACUUCCUGCAGGGGUCAGCCGCUCACGGCUCUGCCGCCCACUUUCCCGCCUCUCCCGAGAGCUCCCUGCACCUGCUCCGCCUGUUCCCGGGCUCCCGGGGCCGCCCUGGGCAGAUCCGGGAGCCAACAGAUGGGCCGUGUGAUGAGCCGGAAGCAGCCUCAGCCUCUGGGGGAGAACGUGACACACACAGGAGCGCAUGGGAAAACAAGGAAAAUGAAACCAUCAGUGCCGGCGACAGGCUGCUGACCGGGCGGGAGAGAGCGCGUGGAGCGCCAGGGCUGUGGCUCCCGUCUGUGCCCUCCCCACGGGGGCCAGGCCACGGGCACGCCCUCGGGCAGCUCCCUCUGCCGGGCGCUGCACGGGGACUUCCUCCAGGGCUGGCCCAGGGCUGGCGGGAUCCCUGGACCUGGUUCUCAGGUUGUCUCCGCUUGAUUCUCAUCGUCUGA